CUCCUGCCUCAGUUGCCCGAGGCCUGGGAUUUCAGACUGAGAGACAUGAAAGCCCAAGGGGCUAGACCAAAAGCCAGGUCUCUGUCCCCGAGCACGGCUUGCUCCGCUGCUGCCUGGCGAGGAGCCCUGAUGCUGAUGAUUCGGGUUAGCAUGAAGGAAGUUAAGUGAACGGCAACCGGGCCGCUGAGGUGAAGCCCUGCGUCUGUCUCCCCAGCUCCUGCGCUGGCAUUCUCAGCCUCAGUACUGGAGAAAGUGUCAGGAUUGGAAUGUACAGAGCGCAAGGGUGGGCCCCAACCAACGUGCCUGGUGGCAUUACAGGAAGAAGCUACCUAGGGAAACCAUGGAAGGACAGAGGGGAAGAGGCCACCUGUGAGCACAGUGGACAGCUUCCCACAGAGACCGAGCUGUGGGCCACAGCCCAGGUGCCCGCCAUAAGGGACCACGGGCCAGGAAGCUCUGCUGUAGCACGAAUUCACUUCUUGUCACUCUGGGGCUGAAACGCCAGGGAUGAAGCAAGUGCAGACCCAGCUGCCCAGGGAGGCUCU